rnacentral:lncRNA from 1 species
GUCAGAAUGAAGGCGACAGCAGCGGGGAGAGAAUCAAGUCACGAGAUCGCUUGGAUUGGCCUUGGUGGACCAACGGGACCAAGGGUCGGGUGAGGGAGACCGAGGAGUCUCAGGCGACGCCCGCACCUCUGCCCGGGAAUCAGGCCUCGUUAGUACAAUCGGGGCAAAGGAUGCCGGCUCCUGCCAGAUCGCACAGUGAUUCACCAGCUGAGACGCUCACGAUGCAGUGGUCGGAGGAACAGCCCAGAUACUGCCCAGCACUUAGGAGACCUCAAGUUCUAGCGGAGUGCCUGGGGAGGGCAGGGGGCGGCCUGCCCCCAGCCUGGCUGGGAUGCGAGGCCUGAGGAGGAGCUGGAUGAAGGCUCAGAGAUGUGAAUGGCGCUAGCGGGAGCCAGAAGAGCUGUGAAUGGACAGGGGAUGGAAAGCAUGUGUGUGGGUGGCUGGCCUCAGUGGCUUGGACCAUGUUCCGUACAUGAUAAGAAACCGAGGGGAUUAAGUAAGGCAAGGUCAUGGUCAGAUUGACCGUGGUGUGGGGGACACUGGUCCAGGCAAGGGGUCAUGUGUAUAGCCUGGCAGUGGCCAUGAGAAGGCUCAAGGUGAGAAUCAGAGGUUGAAUCUCUUUCUCCCCAUCCAUCCUGGAUUGUGGCCCCUUGAAGACAAGAGAGGGGCUCUGGUGUCCAGGGCAGGCACUGGGAGGCAGGACAGGCCUGCUGACCGUGUGUUGACCCCGAGGGAGCCUGGCCAUCACAGCCCUCUGCAUGGAGGGGCCACCCUGGGGCUGGAGCAGGUCAGGCUGACCGAGGGCACAGCUGACAUCCGACUCCCCACGUUCCCACGUUCCUCCCAGCGGCCACAGCUUGCAGCGCUGAAUGGUUCCGAGAAAUCAGUGGUUCAAAUGUCGCAGGAGCGAACACAGAGCUUCAAGGAGGAAUUCAUCCACCUGACCCAGGAA